rnacentral:rRNA from 1 species
UGGGGAAUAUUGCACAAUGGGCGCAAGCCUGAUGCAGCCAUGCCGCGUGUAUGAAGAAGGCCUUCGGGUUGUAAAGUACUUUCAGCGAGGAGGAAGGUGUUGAGGUUAAUAACCUCAGCAAUUGACGUUACUCGCAGAAGAAGCACCGGCUAACUCCGUGCCGGCAGCCGCGGUAAUACGGAGGGUGCAAGCGUUAAUCGGAAUUACUGGGCGUAAAGCGCACGCAGGCGGUCUGUCAAGUCGGAUGUGAAAUCCCCCGGGCUCAACCUGGGAACUGCAUUCGAAACUGGCAGGCUAGAGUCUUGUAGAGGGGUAGGAUUCAGGAUUGUCAGCGGUGAAGUUGCAUGUAGAGAUCUGGAGGAAUACCGGUGGCGAAGGCGGCCCCUGCAGCAAAGACUGACGCUCAGGUGCGAAAGCGUGGGAGCAAACA